CUUUUCCUAAGUGUGGCCGACCAAGAGAGAGAAGGAGGGAAACCAAGGGAAAUCAAAGGAAUCAACCGUUUUUACUGAAAUUCUUUCUGUUUAGUCCGGUAGAAACAUAACCCGAGGCGUUCUAGCGGCAAAUCUCAACUUCUAGAGGUUUUGGCACGAGAGCAGAAGCAACAAGAAAGAACUUCCAGCAAGCAGGGAUAUUAGCAGAUUAUCUUUUACUCGUGUGUAGGUAACCCAGGUAAACAGCCAGUUAUACAGUAGUGUUGCUUGAUGGACUGGCCGAUGCAAAGUGGCGGAAAUGUCAUGGGCUCACGAGAGUGGUGUCUACUACGCCCACUUAGGAAAAUUCCACUGUAGAGUAAUGCAAUAUAGAACACCAGUAUGUUUAUUCAGUUUUAAGAAAAAGAUAUUACAACCAUUGUCUUAGUAAAGAACAACGGACUGUAAUAAGUUAAGACAAGUUUUCGGGGACUAGUUCUAUAUCCGAAUCCUUUAGCAAAAUAUGUUAUUAGUAUAACGACAUAACAUGUUAAGAACCCGAGGGUUAAAGUAAAGAAAAAAAAUUACCCGUGUUUGAACGUAAUAUAAAGA